UUUGUAGAAUGAACCGGCGAGUUACGAUUUGUUGCAAGGUUAAGCGGAAAAAGCGGAGCCGUAGCGAAAGCGAGUCUGAAUAGGGCGCAUAAGUAACAGGUCGUAGACCCGAAACCAGGUGAUCUACCCAUGUCCAGGAUGAAGGUAAGGUAAUACUUACUGGAGGUCCGAACCCACGCACGUUGAAAAGUGCGGGGAUGAGGUGUGGGUAGCGGAGAAAUUCCAAUCGAACUUGGAGAUAGCUGGUUCUCUCCGAAAUAGCUUUAGGGCUAGCCUCGAGGUAAAGAGUCAUGGAGGUAGAGCACUGUUUGGACUAGGGGCCCUUCUCGGGUUACCGAAUUCAGAUAAACUCCGAAUGCCAUGUACUUAUACUCGGGAGUCAGACUGCGAGUGAUAAGAUCCGUAGUCGAAAGGGAAACAGCCCAGACCACCAGUUAAGGUCCCCAAAUAUAUGUUAAGUGGAAAAGGAUGUGGGGUUGCUUAGACAACCAGGAUGUUGGCUUAGAAGCAGCCACCAUUGAAAGAGUGCGUAAUAGCUCACUGGUCGAGUGACCCCGCGCCGAAAAUGUACCGGGGCUAAACAUAUUACCGAAACUGUGGAUGAACCUCUUUAGAGGUUCGUGGUAGGAGAGCGUUCUAAGGGCGGUGAAGUCAGACCGGAAGGACUGGUGGAGCGCUUAGAAGUGAGAAUGCCGGUAUGAGUAGCGAAAGAAGGGUGAGAAUCCCUUCCACCGAAUAUCUAAGGUUUCCUGAGGAAGGCUCGUCCGCUCAGGGUUAGUCGGGACCUAAGCCGAGGCCGAUAGGCGUAGGCGAUGGACAACAGGUAGAGAUUCCUGUACCAGUGCUAAUUGUUUAACCGAUGGGGUGACACAGAAGGAUAGGGAAUCGCACGAAUGGAAAUGUGCGUCCAAGCAGUGAGUGUGAG
rnacentral:rRNA from 2 species